GCAGUCGAGCGGGGGAGAUGCUUCGGUAAUUGACCUAGCGGCGGACGGGUGAGUAAUACUUAGGAAUCUGCCUAUUAAUGGGGGACAACAUCUCGAAAGGGAUGCUAAUACCGCAUACGCCCUACGGGGGAAAGCAGGGGAUCACUUGUGACCUUGCGUUAAUAGAUGAGCCUAAGUCGGAUUAGCUAGUUGGUGGGGUAAAGGCCUACCAAGGCGACGAUCUGUAGCGGGUCUGAGAGGAUGAUCCGCCACACUGGGACUGAGACACGGCCCAGACUCCUACGGGAGGCAGCAGUGGGGAAUAUUGGACAAUGGGGGGAACCCUGAUCCAGCCAUGCCGCGUGUGUGAAGAAGGCCUUAUGGUUGUAAAGCACUUUAAGCGAGGAGGAGGCUCCUGUAGUUAAUACCUACAGUGAGUGGACGUUACUCGCAGAAUAAGCACCGGCUAACUCUGUGCCAGCAGCCGCGGUAAUACAGAGGGUGCGAGCGUUAAUCGGAUUUACUGGGCGUAAAGCGUGCGUAGGCGGCUUUUUAAGUCGGAUGUGAAAUCCCCGAGCUUAACUUGGGAAUUGCAUUCGAUACUGGGAAGCUAGAGUAUGGGAGAGGAUGGUAGAAUUCCGUGUAGCGGUGAAAUGCGUAGAGAUCUGGAGGAAUACCGAUGGCGAANGCAGCCAUCUGGCCUAAUACUGACGCUGANGUACNAAAGCAUGGGGAGCAAACAGGAUAGAUACCCUGGAGUCCAUGCCGUAAACGAUGUCUACUAGCCGUUGGGGCCUUUGAGGCUUUAGUGGCCACUACGCGAUAAGUAGACCGCCUGGGGUACGCAGCUAAAANUCAAAUGAAUGGGGGCCCCAACGCAUGUUUUUCGAUGCCAAUUGCUGA
rnacentral:rRNA from 1 species